UACGAAGGGGGCUAGCGUUGCUCGGAAUCACUGGGCGUAAAGCGCACGUAGGCGGAUCUUUAAGUCUGGGGUGAAAUCCUGGAGCUCAACUCCAGAACUGCCUUUGAUACUGGAGAGCUUGAGUCCGGAAGAGGUGAGUGGAACUCCGAGUGUAGAGGUGAAAUUCGUAGAUAUUCGGAAGAACACCAGUGGCGAAGGCGGCUCACUGGUCCGGUACUGACGCUGAGGUGCGAAAGCGUGGGGAGCAAACAGG
rnacentral:rRNA from 1 species